rnacentral:rRNA from 1 species
UACGGAGGGGGCUAGCGUUGUUCGGAAUUACUGGGCGUAAAGCGUACGUAGGCGGCUUUGUAAGUUAGAGGUGAAAGCCCGGGGCUCAACCCCGGAAUUGCCUUUAAGACUGCAUCGCUUGAAUCAUGGAGAGGUUAGUGGAAUUCCGAGUGUAGAGGUGAAAUUCGUAGAUAUUCGGAAGAACACCAGUGGCGAAGGCGACUAACUGGACAUGUAUUGACGCUGAGGUACGAAAGCUGGGGGAGCAAACGGG